rfam:Schistosoma mansoni strain Puerto Rico chromosome W, complete genome
CUCCAGCUAACGAGUCCCAAAUAGGACGAAACGUGCGUCCUGGAU